rnacentral:misc_RNA from 1 species
GAUGAAGAACGUAGCGAAAUGCGAUAAGUAGUGUGAAUUGCAGAAUUCCGUGAAUCAUCGAAUCUUUGAACGCACAUUGCGCCUUCUGGUAUUCCGGAAGGCAUGCCUGUUCGAGAGUCAUUAACAACCGUUUCGAUCCCUUUCUUUCAGAAAUUACAAAGAGGAAAAGGGUUUGGUUAUGGUGGAGGAGGGAAAGGGAGCGUUUAGCCUGUAAAAAAAGAGGCUGUGUUCCGCCUCCCCCCCAAAAUUGUUCAGGCGGUCGUGUGCGCCCACGCAUCGAGGUGUUGUAAAAGCUGCCACGGCACUUUUCACCUGUGCAGUGCGAGAUUGGCCAGCCGGUUUAAAAACCCCUCCAAACAAUCAAAGGUUGACCUCGGAUCAGGUAGGGAUACCCGCUGAACUUAAGAAUAUCAAUAAGCGGAGGA